rnacentral:rRNA from 1 species
CCUACGGGAGGCAGCAGUGGGGAAUAUUGCACAAUGGGGGAAACCCUGAUGCAGCGACGCCGCGUGAGUGAAGAAGUAUUUCGGUACGUAAAGCUCUAUCAGCAGGGAAGAAAAUUACGGUACCUGACUAAGAAGCCCCGGCUAACUACGUGCCAGCAGCCGCGGUAAUACGUAGGGGGCAAGCGUUAUCCGGAUUUACUGGGUGUAAAGGGAGCGUAGACGGCAGCGCAAGUCUGGAGUGAAAUCCCAUGGCUUAACCAUGGAACUGCUUUGGAAACUGUGCAGCUAGAGUGCAGGAGAGGUAAGCGGAAUUCCUAGUGUAGCGGUGAAAUGCGUAGAUAUUAGGAGGAACACCAGUGGCGAAGGCGGCUUACUGGACUGUAACUGACGUUGAGGCUCGAAAGCGUGGGGAGCAAACAGGAUUAGAUACCCCAGUAGUC